rnacentral:rRNA from 1 species
CCCAAUCAUCUAUCCCACCUUCGGCGGCUGGCUCCUUGCGGUUACCCCACCGACUUCGGGUGUUAUAAACUCUCGUGGUGUGACGGGCGGUGUGUACAAGACCCGGGAACGUAUUCACCGCGGCAUGCUGAUCCGCGAUUACUAGCAAUUCCGACUUCAUGCAGGCGAGUUGCAGCCUGCAAUCCGAACUGAGACCGGCUUUGUUGGGAUUGGCUCCAUCUCGCGAUUUCGCAGCCCGUUGUACCGGCCAUUGUAGUACGUGUGUAGCCCAGGUCAUAAGGGGCAUGAUGAUUUGACGUCAUCCCCACCUUCCUCCGGUUUGUCACCGGCAGUCUAUCUAGAGUGCCCACCCGAAGUGCUGGCAACUAAAUAUAAGGGUUGCGCUCGUUGCGGGACUUAACCCAACAUCUCACGACACGAGCUGACGACAACCAUGCACCACCUGUCUCCUCUGUCCCGAAGGAAAGGUACAUCUCUGUACCGGUCAGAGGGAUGUCAAGACCUGGUAAGGUUCUUCGCGUUGCUUCGAAUUAAACCACAUACUCCACUGCUUGUGCGGGUCCCGUCAAUUCCUUUGAGUUUCAGUCUUGCGACCGUACUCCCCAGGCGGAAUGCUUAAUGUGUUAACUUCGGCACCAAGGGUUAUCGAAACCCCUAACACCUAGCACUCAUCGUUU